AGCUCACCAGCCGCCGCCGCCGCCGCCGUGUUACCCGGAAGCCAACAGGAGCGUCGAGGCUCAGACAGACACGCACGGUGGCGGCCCCGCCCAUCCACUGGAAGGCUCCUCCCUCGGCGCGCCCCCGGGCGCCGCGUUGUACCCGGAGCAGGUGGCCCUCCCGUCCGUGCUGCACCUGCCGUAUGAAGCUCCGCCCCCGACCACCUACCUGUCACCCGCCCCGCCCCCUCCUCCGGGUCACUCCGCCCAUCACCCUUACCACACCCACCACGCCUGCGCGCCGGCCUCGGCGCACUGGGGAGGGCACGCCUCGCGGGUCUACUGCCCCGCCCCCAACGCCGCCCACGUGGUGGGCUACGUCGCGGCUCCGCCCGCGCACUUUAUCCCACCUAGCGCCUGAUGCUAAUACCGCGCGUUUGGUUUUUCCGGUUCGGCUUGGUUGUGGUGGUCACCGGCGGCUUUUGAGUUUGUCGUCAGCCGGUCAGAGGGAGGGGGUCGUCGGCGAGUGGCCCUUUUUUGGUGGAGGGAUGUUUUUGUGACUGCAACGCGGUGUUGGGUUUUGUUUGUUUGUUUGUUUGUUUGGUUGGUUCCGGGCUCAAUAAAGUUUUGUCACAAGCAGAAA